GACGUAGGGCGCGAGCGUUGUCCGGAUUUAUUGGGCGUAAAGCGCGCGUAGGCGGCAGCGUGUGUCGGGCGUGAAAUCCCACGGCUCAACCGUGGAAGUGCACUCGAAACUGCGCAGCUAGAGUCUCGGAGAGGAAGGCGGAAUGCUUGGUGUAGAGGUGAAAUUCGUAGAUAUCAAGCGGAACACCGGUGGCGAAGGCGGCCUUCUGGACGAUGACUGACGCUGAAGUGCGAAAGCGUGGGGAGCAAACAGG
rnacentral:rRNA from 1 species